rnacentral:rRNA from 1 species
GAUGAACGCUGGCGGCGUGCCUAAUACAUGCAAGUAGAACGCUGAAGGAGGAGCUUGCUCUUCUGGAUGAGUUGCGAACGGGUGAGUAACGCGUAGGUAACCUGCCUGGUAGCGGGGGAUAACUAUUGGAAACGAUAGCUAAUACCGCAUGACAACAGUUAUUGCAUGAUAACUGUUUAAAAGGGGCAACUGCUCCACUACCAGAUGGACCUGCGUUGUAUUAGCUAGUUGGUGAGGUAACGGCUCACCAAGGCGACGAUACAUAGCCGACCUGAGAGGGUGAUCGGCCACACUGGGACUGAGACACGGCCCAGACUCCUACGGGAGGCAGCAGUAGGGAAUCUUCGGCAAUGGACGGAAGUCUGACCGAGCAACGCCGCGUGAGUGAAGAAGGUUUUCGGAUCGUAAAGCUCUGUUGUAAGAGAAGAACGAGUGUGAGAGUGGAAAGUUCACACUGUGACGGUAUCUUACCAGAAAGGGACGGCUAUCUACGUG